AGAAAUAACGUAAAUAAUUAUGUAAACAUAAGAAACAUAAAUACAAUCGCAUGCAAUAAUAACAAACAGUAACUACCAUACUAACAACCAUAAGGGGGAUAUAAGCUAAAACACAAAUCAUCUAUGGAUAACCCAGCUGUCCCACACCCAACCCCGGGAGAGGCGUACGAAGCACUCUAUGAGCCCAUAGCCUUCAACACUGAUUCUAGACCUCCAGACUCCCCUAUCAAGGGUCAUGUCCUCGGAAACCUGCAU
rnacentral:lncRNA from 1 species